UGCCACAAAUUCGGAUGGCAGAAUCAUCAAGUCACAAUAUCCGGUGCUGGACAAUCACCCAUACUCAGGGGAAGGUCGGGCCCCACCAUAAUGCAUGUGAUGAGUCAUGCCAAACUGCACACAGAGAUACAGGUGAGGAGGAUAGAUAUCAGAGAAGUUAAGUAACUUGCCAAAUGUCACACAAUGAACAAGAGUCGCUAUCUGGACCUAAAUCCACAUCUUUUCUAACAUCGACACCCAUGCUGUUGCAUGACAUCGCACUAAGGAACUACCUAACAAUGCCUGACAUCUACCAUGCUGGAAGCAAAGGUACAAGUCCGGAGGAGUCUGAUGUCAAUGCCAGGGAAAGUCCUCUACUGGCAAGUAUGUGACACUGGGAAGACAUCUGCCAACAUACAUUCCCAGAGCCUGAGGCCCAUGUCUUGACAUACUGAGCCAGUGACAGGAGGACACCAAUGAUGACGCAACGUCAGAUAACCAAUGGGAAUGAGAGAUGACUGGUAAAUCAAGUAAGAAGGCACUGGCAGAGGCAGCAAAGAGGCGUGGUGCUUGCGACAAGGCUGUAGCUUGAAGAGAAAAGAG